rnacentral:rRNA from 1 species
GACGAACGCUGGCGGCGUGCUUAACACAUGCAAGUCGAACGGAAAGGCCCUGCUUUUGUGGGGUGCUCGAGUGGCGAACGGGUGAGUAACACGUGAGUAACCUGCCCUUGACUUUGGGAUAACUUCAGGAAACUGGGGCUAAUACCGGAUAGGAGCUCCUGCUGCAUGGUGGGGGUUGGAAAGUUUCGGCGGUUGGGGAUGGACUCGCGGCUUAUCAGCUUGUUGGUGGGGUAGUGGCUUACCAAGGCUUUGACGGGUAGCCGGCCUGAGAGGGUGACCGGCCACAUUGGGACUGAGGUACGGGCCAGACUGCUACGGGAGGCAGCGGUGGGGAAUAUUGCACAAUGGGCGGAAGCCUGAUGCAGCAACGCCGCGUGCGGGAUGACGGCCUUCGGGUUGUAAACCGCUUUCGCCUGUGACGAAGCGUGAGUGACGGUAAUGGGUAAAGAAGCACCGGCUAACUACGUG